rnacentral:rRNA from 1 species
AUGUCAGCCGCCGCGGUAAUACGGAGGGUGCAAGCGUUAAUCGGAAUUACUGGGCGUAAAGCGCACGCAGGCGGUUUGUUAAGUCAGAUGUGAAAUCCCCGGGCUCAACCUGGGAACUGCAUUUGAAACUGGCAAGCUUGAGUCUUGUAGAGGGGGGUAGAAUUCCAGGUGUAGCGGUGAAAUGCGUAGAGAUCUGGAGGAAUACCGGUGGCGAAGGCGGCCCCCUGGACAAAGACUGACGCUCAGGUGCGAAAGCGUGGGGAGCAAAC